rnacentral:rRNA from 1 species
GACGAACGCUGGCGGCGUGCCUAACACAUGCAAGUCGAACGAGAAUCUUUGAACAGAUCUUUUCGGAGUGACGUUCAAAGAGGAGAGUGGCGGACGGGCGAGUAACGCGUGAGUAACCUGCCCAUAAGAGGGGGAUAAUCCAUGGAAACGUGGACUAAUACCGCAUAUUGUAGUCAAGUCGCAUGACUAGAUUAUGAAAGAUUUAUCGCUUAUGGAUGGACUCGCGUCAGAUUAGAUAGUUGGUGAGGUAACGGCUCACCAAGUCAACGAUCUGUAGCCGAACUGAGAGGUUGAUCGGCCGCAUUGGGACUGAGACACGGCCCAGACUCCUACGGGAGGCAGCAGUGGGGAAUAUUGCGCAAUGGGGGCAACCCUGACGCAGCAACGCCGCGUGCAGGAAGAAGGUCUUCGGAUUGUAAACUGUUGUCGCAAGGGAAGAAGACAGUGACGGUACCUUGUGAGAAAGUCACGGCUAACUACGUGCUAGCAGCCGCGGUAAUACGUAGGUGACAAGCGUUGUCCGGAUUUACUGGGUGUAAAGGGCGCGUAGGCGGACUGUCAAGUCAGUCGUGAAAUACCGGGGCUUAACCCCGGGGCUGCGAUUGAAACUGACAGCCUUGAGUAUCGGAGAGGAAAGCGGAAUUCCUAGUGUAGCGGUGAAAUGCGUAGAUAUUAGGAGGAACACCAGUGGCGAAGGCGGCUUUCUGGACGACAACUGACGCUGAGGCGCGAAAGUGUGGGGAGCCA